rnacentral:lncRNA from 1 species
CCAGCAAGUGUGUCACCUGAGGAAUGCCAGCGCAGGGAGUCAUGGUCAUUUUCAAAACUCAUGGAACCCUGGCGUUCACCAUGCCAGAAAUUCGUUUCCAGUCCCAUGUGCUUGAAAAGCAGUCCCUGAGGAAAGUGACUUCGGGAGUGGAUCCCAAAUGCAGCCCCUCCUUACGCAGGGGAGGAAGAGUGAUGGAAAUGGAAUCGUACAGUCCAGACAAAUCUCAAGGCAGCUGGGAAAUGCUCCUGAGAUCUUCCGAACUUGGUGAGUGCUACAGAAUCACCUCAACCUACCCAGAAAAUGCCAGGCUAUUUAACAAGCAGUCUAGAUGCUGCCUCUAAAAGUUGAACCAUUUAUGUCUUUUUUUUAAACGGAUUUCUCAUUUCUUGAUAAAUAAUUGAAAUGUGUUAAAAAUUUAAUCAACAAACUAAAUUAUUAGCACUGUGGAGAGUUCUGAUCACAAACUGGGAAAAUAUGCCUUCUCUCUUUUCCUUUUGUAACCUCAAAGCAACUGUUAUAGCAAACUCUAUAGCAAAGUUAGAUGCUCUACUGUCUAGAUACACACCUGACACUACACAAAAGGUUUUGGGAAGCAUGCCUUAAAGUUCUGUGCUGAUUUAAUAUUAUACAGUCACUCUG